GCGUGAGUCAUGUAUAUAGUUUAGGAAUGUAAAUUAAAUUGUUAUUACUUUCCUAGUCUAGAUGUGUAGUACAUGUGUAGUACAUGUGUAGUAUAUGUAGGGUUAGAGUUUGUACGUAUUGUAUCUUUAUAUAUAGCCUCCACUGUGAGAUGAAUAAGAUAUCAGAAAAUUUAUUCUCUAAAACCUCCUUAUAUCUGACUUGGUAUCAGAGCAAAGAUCCAAAAGGACUUUGUCUCUUUGUUUUUCCGCUGCACUUUUUCGUUGAAGUUUUCCCAACGAUUCUAUUCUAUUCUCCGAUCGAAGUUUUUCCGAUCGUUGUUUCUCGCUCCCGGGUUACUGUUCACGGAGUUGGUUUGUUUCCAGCCGUGCCCAAACCGAAAUCCAGCCGUGCCCAGCCCAGAAAUCACCGUCGUGCCCAGAAGAUGCCGCCGUGCUCAAGAUCGAUAGGAUCUUCUCACUGGGGAGUUACUAGGUCGGGGGUACUUGAGGGGCAGGCUGUUUCGUCUAGACCAGACAUACGCAGGGGAGAAACCAGGAGCACAGCCACGAACCGCUUUAAUGUCAACUUCUGACAGGCUAAGUGAAGUUUGGUUAUGGCACCGACGCUUAGGGCAUCCAUCUUUUAGUGUUAUGAAAAAAUCCAUGCCUUCUUUGUUUAUUGGUGUGGAUGAGUCAGUCUUACAUUGUGAAACAUGUGUUUUUGGCAAGAGUCAUCGCUCAACCUAUCUGCCUAGUAUUUCAAAUAAAAGUGUCGUUCCUUUUGAAUUAA